GCAUUUUCUCGUGUUAAGGCCAAAAAAAUUAGGGGAAAAAUAGUUUCUGUAUAGCCGCAAGUGACUUGUUACGUUCCACAAGCUGGCCGUCAAGCGACUGUUUAGAUUAUCAACAAAGAACUCAACUAUUUGUAACUAAAAGAUUUUCACUAUUUUCUUUUCCUGGCUUGACAAUCUGUAUGUGAGUAAUUAAUUUAAUCACGCACCAACUGUCCGAAGCAUCAAAUAGCAAAAAUCGAGCAGAUGGUGUUUGUCUGGACCACAGCCUUGAUCACACACACACAGCUAUAUUACAACCACCUUUGAAUGAAAAGUUUCAGAAACUUGUAUGCCAGAUUGCUCCAUCACCUUCCCCACACCGCUGAUGUACUUCCUCCAUUCUCUCCACUGACUUGCAAACGCCACUGCAGGUCCAAUCAAAUGAUGCAGCACAAGGAUUCCCCGCUUGAGUCUUCCACUCGCAGUCAGGUAGAGUUCCACAGCAGAGGCUUCGAUCGUCAAUGUGCUCAAUAUCAAGCCCAAUAAACCAAGAUCCUAGCGAAACAUCUUCAUUUGCAUAUCUAUGAAGUAUGUGCCGAUUUACUGAAAUGUAGGUUGCCAAAUCUUUGGAAAUUGCAUAUAUUUGCCCUGUUGCAUGCCUAAAAUAUUUGUUUCCCUCCUCACCAAAUUUCCAAUAUUCUGGUUCAUGGUACUUGACACCUUUCUGUGAUAGAACUGGUCCAGAUUUCAUACAACCGAUAUAAACACGGGGUUUUGAUCUAUGACGUGCCAAAGUAGAGCCAACCAUACCAAGAUUUAUGUGUACAUCAUCAUCAACUUUAAUGUAGAAGUCAGCGUCCCACCUAGCAACAGCAGUUGACAAGUAUAUUUGUGUUUUUGAUGACAAUUCAUGAUAUCCUUCAAUAUGAUUCAGCCGCAGGAAAUCCCUGUGCUGUUCUUCUUCUGCAUCAAUAGCACGAUCCAAAACACCACCUGGUGAUGCACUGACAACCAAAAAAUUUAAGCAUUUCAUUUUUAUGAAACUAUCAUUAUGGGCUAGAAUGUUAAUCACUUGCAGCUUUGAUUAAUCCCACCUGUGUCCUAUUACAAAUCGUAAGAUGAUACCCUUCUCUGUUUCCAACUUCUUUAACUCCUCUCCUAGAGUACGUAACAACAAAAGGUGUAAGCAAUUACUUAAUUGUGACAGCUAUCAACGGUCUACUCAAGAGAAUGGUUAACCUUUGGGCAUCCAAGUUUCUCUAAUUGAAUCCCUUCGUUUUCUGCUGCUAAAUGCUGUAAUUAUACCCAUAACAAAAAAGACUUUCUGUCGCUCCUUCAAAGGCUUGGCUCCAGAUUUUGUGACCAUAGGAGAUCCUUCCUCAUUGUCAGCUUUGACAGCUCUUGCAGCAGCCAGCUGCAUUUCCAAUGAGGAGAUUGUUUUAUCUAGAGUCAUGAUUACAUCAUGAGUUUGUGAAACUUGAGAAAGAAUGUCCCCUGCUUGGACAGAAGUCUCCUUCUUUUCACAAUUAACCACAGGAUUGGAAAUUUUUGAUUGAUGUUCUUUCACAGAUGAAGCUUCCUCAUCCAUUUGGACUGGAUCAAUAUCCCAAAACCUGUUGACAACAAGAACCCCCAAGAAGAAGCUGGCAAUGCAGAAGAUAGAAACCCAUCUGGUAGAGACUCCAUUGCUGGGUUUUUGAGGUCUGCUCAAACCCAUUCCAAUCCAACGAGCUUGAGCUUUGAGUAAGCUUCCUCCUUUCCUAAAGCUUGCGGUGGUGCUACAAGAAGAAUACAAACGACCCCAUUCCUGAGAAAGAGAGAGAGAAGAAAAGAACAAAAAUAAUGCCCGAACUGGAUGGUUGUCUAAAUAGGCCGAAAAAAGAAAGGGGAAAUGGAAUUGUUGGUUUUUCUUGCUUUCAGCUUUCUGAAUCCAAUCAAAAUCACCAGGAGAAUGGGCAAGCUGUAAUAAUGUUUGC
rnacentral:misc_RNA from 1 species